rfam:Oreochromis niloticus linkage group LG17, whole genome shotgun sequence.
CAAAAGGCUCUUUUCAGAGCCACCAGCUGUUCCUCUGAGAGAUCCU